rnacentral:lncRNA from 1 species
GAAAAAGAGACAGAACGUGGAAAAGGGCAAAAAGAGAACCAGAGAACAAGGGAUUGAAGGGAGGAAAAGCUUGAAGCUGCAGAAUUUGCCGGAUUAACUCAGGUAAGGGGGGUUUAUCGUUGAUUAACGGGUAUUGUAUGAUAAUAUGUCAUGGGUAGUGAUAGACCUUUAAUUUACCUUUGAAUUGGAUGAUUAUGAUGAAUUUGUGGAAAUAAUUGAUGA